AUGGCGUGGUCCGCGGACCUGAAGGCUGGGCCGUCUUCCGCUGUGGUCAAAACCGGAAAGAGUUCAGGGCCUGAUAACUUUGUAAAGUUCAGAAAGCGAGUUGCGCGCUCCUUUCCCCACUGGGUGCUUGGCCUGACCUCUGACCCGCCCUAACUCCUUUUUCCCUCUUGAUGGCAACUCCAGUCAUUGAUGAAGGUGGUGGGCUUUGAACCUUGUCUUUUAAAUUUUAUUUGGGGUCCACUGCGUGUAAGCAUUGGCUGCUCCGCGGAGAGGCCUGUUGUGGGGCGCCAUGAGAUAGGGAAACCUUGGAGAUACUUGAUUCGUGGUCACGUGACACCACCGGUGUGACGGGUUGGAGGUAGAAUGGAAAAAUCUGGUUUGAAAUCUUCAUGGAGGACUACAGCAUUUCAGUCCUGAAUCUGAUUCAGUCCCCUAUUGACUUAUUACUGUAUUAAAAAUAUUUCAAUUAA